rnacentral:lncRNA from 1 species
UUCAAGGAAAAUGAAUUACAAAAAAUGAGUAAAAAUGGUAUCGGGCUCGUAAUUUGGUUACGACGCCCGGUACAAGUCAUAAAUAAUUGUUAAGCACUAUCUGUGAAGUUUCAUUUGAAUCAGACGUCGUUUGACGUGUUUUGGAUUAAUAGUGGAAAAUUUUGAAAGUUUUGAUGUUGAAAUGAAAAUCAUGAGUUUUGGAGGUCGAUUCUUUGAUUUAGAUGUUAUUUUGUGAUUUUAUUGCACGAGUAAGUUCGUAGGAUGUUUUUGAGGUUGUGUGCAUGUUUGGUUUGGAGCCCCGAUAGCUCGGGAGAUAUUUGGAGUAGGUGUCGAGUUCAUUUUGCAUGGUUGUAACCUAUUUCUUGUGUAUCAGACCUGCAGGCUUCGCAAUUGCGAAGCCUGGUUUGCAUUUGCGAAAGAGGUCCAGGUCCAGCUAAUCUCGCAAAUACGAGUUCUACUUCGCAAAUGUGAAGUCUCCUCUCUUCCUUCAGUCAUCGCAAAUGCGAUGAUAUUCUUCGCAAUUGCGACCUUUCCCCAUUCCAUCCCAGGUUCGCAUUUGCGAACUCCCAUCUCGCAAAUGCGAGGUCCUCUUCUUUGAUGCCCAGUUCGCAAUUGCGAAUUCGACCCAAGUUCGCAUUUGCGAACUCCCAUCUUGCAAAUGCGAGGUCCACUUCUUUGAUGCCCAGUUCGCAAUUGCGAAUUCGAUAUCGCAAUUGCGAGGUCCGUGUCUGCACAAAAUAUACUUAACCGAUUUUGAAGUUCUUUUUCAUAAUUUCAAAACCCAAAACCCUCAUUGGCAAUUUUCUCUCAACUCUUCUGUCCCCAAAUAAAUUGUUAGUCCAUUUUUACUUGUUUUCUUCAAUCCUUAUCAUCUUCUAUCAUGAUUUCUUCACUAAAUCAAAGCUUUUAUGGGUAAAAAAUGGAGGUUUGGUUAGAAGUUAGAUUUUUCAUAUUUUAAGCUUUUGGACCUCGAUUUGAGGUUCGAUUUCAAUUCUAAUUUUAGAUAUGAGCUCGUGGGGGAAUGGGUAACCCAGUUUUGGUUUGAACCUCGAGUUUUGACCACGUGGUCCUGGGGGAAUUUUGGAAAUUUUGAGUAAAACUUUGGAAAUUUCAUUCUUAUGCAUCUAAAUUGAUUUAACUAGCAUUUGUUGAUACAUUUGAGUAAAUUGUGGUUAGAUUCGACCAGUUUUGAAGCGAAUUCGAGGGGUAAAGCCAUUCUAGAAGCGUGAGUUGAGUUGGAAGCCUUCGAGGUAAGUGCUCGAUCUAACUUUGGCUUGAGGGAAUAAAAUUAGGUUGUUAAUUCCUAUGUGCUAUGUGGAGUCGGUGUAUAGGUAAGGUGACGGCUACCUAUGCGCCCGAGUCGAGCAUGACCGUGUUGUCAUUUGUUAUUAGAAUGGUGGAAGAAGUGAACAAUUGGGAUAAAUUCUCGUUAUAAGAGCUAUGAAGUGAAAGAUGAGAAGUAAAUGAACUAGAGCUGAGUUGUUGGUGUUUUUCCCUUGCCGGGACUUGUUGUUAUAUUGUUUCCCUUGCCGGGACUUGUUGUUGAAUUGUUUCCCUUGCCGGAACUUGUUGUUAAAUUGUUUCCCUUGUCGGGACUUGUUUUUGCAUUGUUCUCCCUUGCCGGGAUGGUUAAU